GGAAGGAUCAUUGAAUUCUAUCAUAUCAACUCCGGUAACCAACUGUAACCCCCCUUCGAGACCUCCUCGGAGGACUCGCUGGGCGCCAGGUCGGGGCUCUGCGGAGCGGGCUCGGGUGCUUCGGCAUUCGCCUGCUUAGCGGUUCUUCCGGUCUGGCGGAUCGGGGCCGGCCCCUGUCCUGUCGGGGGAAGGCCCCGGUUGGCACUUGUCUAACCUACCCCAAACACAAGUUGCUCUGAAGGCAUGAGCGUGUGUUGCAUGCCAACCUCGCUUUAAACCAAGACAACUCUCAACAACGGAUAUCUUGGCUCCCGUAACGAUGAAGAACGCAGCGAAAUGCGAUACUUAGUGUGAAUUGCAGAAUUCCGUGAACCAUCGAAUCUUUGAACGCACAUUGCGCUCGAGGCCUCGGCCGAGAGCAUGUCUGCCUCAGCGUCGGCAUAACCCUCGCCAAACCCUCGGUAUGGCGGAGUUGGCCGUCUUGCUGCCGACCGGUUCCAACCGGUCAGCGGGUCGGCUGAAGCUGAGCGGCUACAGUAAACCCUUAUUGGGCGCUGGCUCGGUAGGUAGCUUCGGCUGCAUGCCGCCAGACCGCUCUGGGCUUGCUGCACGCCCACUUUAUUUCUCAAUUCGACCUGAGAUCAGGCAAGAGCACCCGCUGAACUUAAGCAUAUCAAUAAGCGGAGGAAAAGAAACUAACCAGGAUUCCCCUAGUAACGGCGAGUGAACCGGGAAGAGCCCAACUUGUAAAUCUCCAGCCCAUGGCUGGCGAAUUGUAGUCUCCAGACGCGUCCUCUGUGACUAGCCCAGCCCAAGUUCCCUGGAAGGGGACGUCAGAGAGGGUGAGAACCCCGUCGGCUGGUGCCGCAGUCACUCCACGAGGCGUGCUCGCAGAGUCGGGUUGUUUGGGAAUGCAGCCCAAAGCAGGUGGUAAAUCCCAUCUAAGGCUAAAUACGGACGGGAGACCGAUAGCGAACAAGUACCGUGAGGGAAAGAUGAAAAGAACUUUGAAAAGAGAGUUAAAAAGUGCUUGAAAUUGUUGAGGGGGAAGAGAUUGGAGGCUGCGGGUGUGCCCAGGCUUAUGCGUGCCUCACGGCCCGCUGUAUGUGCUGGGCACUGGUCAGCAUCGGUUGGUCGGGCGGGAUAAAAGCAGCCAUUGAUAGGCGGCCAAUGCCGCCUGACCGACCGAGGAACCAAGGGCGCUCUCUGAGUCCUUCGGGAACUGCGCCCUCAGGAUGCUGGCGGAAGGCUUCCAAUCUGCCCGUCUUGAAACACGGACCAAGGAGUCUAACAUGUAUGCGAGCUGGUGGGUUGUAAGCCCACGAAGCGCAAGGAACCUGACUGGUGGGAUGGCCUGUGCCUGCACCAUCGACCGACCAUGAUCUUCUGUGAAAGGUUUGAGUACGAGCAUACCUGUUGGGACCCGAAAGAUGGUGAACUAUGCCUGAGCAGGGCGAAGCCAGAGGAAACUCUGGUGGAGGCUCGUAGAUGUGCUGACGUGCAAAUCGCUUUUCGGACUUGGGUAUAGGGGCGAAAGACUAAUCGAACCAUCUAGUAGCUGGUUUCCUC
rnacentral:misc_RNA from 1 species